GACGGGGGGGGCAAGUGUUCUUCGGAAUGACUGGGCGUAAAGGGCACGUAGGCGGUGAAUCGGGUUGAAAGUGAAAGUCGCCAAAAACUGGCGGAAUGCUCUCGAAACCAAUUCACUUGGGUGAGACAGAGGAGAGUGGAAUUUCGUGUGUAGGGGUGAAAUCCGCAAAUCUACGAAGGAAGGCCAAAAGCGAAGGCAGCUCUCUGGGUCCCUACCGACGCUGGGGUGCAAAAGCAUGGGGAGCGAACAGG
rnacentral:rRNA from 1 species